UAGGGAAUCUUCCACAAUGGACGCAAGUCUGAUGGAGCAACGCCGCGUGAGUGAAGAAGGUUUUCGGACCGUAAAGCUCUGUUGUUGGUGAAGAAGGAUAGAGGUAGUAACUGGCCUUUAUUUGACGGUAAUCAACCAGAAAGUCACGGCUAACUACGUGCCAGCAGCCGCGGUAAUACGUAGGUGGCAAGCGUUGUCCGGAUUUAUUGGGCGUAAAGCGAGCGCAGGCGGAAGAAUAAGUCUGAUGUGAAAGCCCUCGGCUUAACCGAGGAAUUGCAUCGGAA
rnacentral:rRNA from 1 species